rnacentral:rRNA from 1 species
GAGUUUGAUCGUGGCUCAGGAUGAACGCUGGCGGCGUGCUUAACACAUGCAAGUCGAACGAAGCGCCUUAUUUGAUUUUCUUCGGAACUGAAGAUUUGGUGACUGAGUGGCGGACGGGUGAGUAACGCGUGGGUAACCUGCCCUGUACAGGGGGAUAACAAUCAGAAAUGACUGCUAAUACCGCAUAAGACCACAGCACCGCAUGGUGCAGGGGUAAAAACUCCGGUGGUACAGGAUGGACCCGCGUCUGAUUAGCUGGUUGGUGAGGUAACGGCUCACCAAGGCGACGAUCAGUAGCCGGCUUGAGAGAGUGAACGGCCACAUUGGGACUGAGACACGGCCCAAACUCCUACGGGAGGCAGCAGUGGGGAAUAUUGCACAAUGGGGGAAACCCUGAUGCAGCAACGCCGCGUGAGUGAAGAAGUAUUUCGGUAUGUAAAGCUCUAUCAGCAGGGAAGAAAGUGACGGUACCUGACUAAGAAGCCCCGGCUAACUACGUGCCAGCAGCCGCAGUAACG